AGGGCGUAUGGUGGAUGCCUUGGCACCGGAAGCCGAUGAAGGACGUGGCAAGCUGCGAUAAGCCUCGUUGAGCCGCAAGCGGGCUAUGAUACGAGGAUUUCCGAAUGGGGAAACCCGGCGGGGGUAAUGCCCCGUCACCCGCAUCUGAACACAUAGGAUGCGAGGAGGGAACCCGGGGAAAUGAAACAUCUGAGUACCCGGAGGAAAAGAAAGAAAGUUUCGAUCUCCUGAGUAGUGGCGAGCGAAAUGGAGACAGCCCAAACCGACUGCAUGGAAGCCUGUGGGCGUUGUGCAGUCGGGGUUGUAGGAUCUUGCGCGGUCACCCCACAGGGUGGCCGGAGAGUUACAAAUCACGCGGGUAGUCGAAUCGAACUGGAUACGUUCAGCCGUAGAGGGUGAAAGCCCCGUAGACGAAACUCGCGUGGCUCUCUAGCUUGACUCCUGAGUAAGUCCGGGCACGGGAAACCCGGAUUGAAUCUGCGAGGACCACCUCGUAAGGCUAAACACUAACGGUGACCGAUAGUGAACCAGUACCGUGAGGGAAAGGUGAAAAGUACCCCGCAAGGGGAGUUAAAUAGCACCUGAAACCAUACGCCUACAAGCGGUCGGAGCAGUGGUUUAACCACUGUGACGGCGUACUUUUUGCAUAACGGGCCAGCGAGUUGCUGGUAUCUGGCAAGGUUAAGCGAGAGCGAGCCGCAGCGAAAGCGAGUCUGAUAAGGGCGCGCAGUCAGAUGCCGCAGACCCGAAACCGGGUGAGCUAUCCAUGGACAGGUUGAAGCGUGGGUAAGACCACGUGGAGGACCGAACCGACCUAGGUUGAAAACUGGGCGGAUGAUCUGUGGAUAGGAGUGAAAGGCUAAUCAAACCCGGCGAUAUCUGGUUCUCCCCGAAAUAUAUUUAGGUAUAGCCUGGCACGUUUCGUCGCGGGUGUAGAGCACUGUUUGGGUGCGGGGCCCUACAAGGUUACCAAACUCAGAUAAACUCCGAAGACCGUAGACGUUAGAGUGCUGGAGUCAGGGCGCGGGGGAUAACCUCCGUGUCCGAAAGGGAAACAACCCAGCCCGUCGGCUAAGGUCCCUAAAUGAUGGCUAACAGGUAAAAAGGAUGUGGCGCUGCACAGACAACCAGGAUGUUGGCUUAGAAGCAGCCAUCAUUUAAAGAGUGCGUAAUAGCUCACUGGUCAAGUGGUGUUGCGCCGAAAAUUCAUCGGGCCUAAAGUCAUCUACCGAAGCCACGGACUUCAGCUUUGCUGGAGUGGUAGGGGAGCAUCCCGUAGCGGCUGAAGCGGCGGCGUAAGCUUAAGCCGUGGACGCUGCGGGAGAGAGAAUGCUGGCAUGAGUAACGAGAGACGGGUGAGAAACCCGUCCGCCGAAAGCCUAAGGGUUCCUGGGUAAAGUUUUUCUUCCCAGGGUCAGUCGGGACCUAAGCUGAGAGCGAAAGCUGUAGGCGAUGGACAGUAGGUCGAUAUUCCUACACCGCGUACAUGGCGUUUGAGUGAUGGAGUGACGGAGAAGGAUCGGCCAACCACGGCGCUGGUAGACCGUGGGCUUUACCGUAGGGCGGGGACCAGGGAAAUCCGGGCCCCAUUAAGCCUGAGGGUUGAGCCGAAUCCCGUUAAUAGGGCAAGUGGCCUACUCCAUGCUUCCUGGAAAAACUUCUAAACGAGUCAUGUGCGUGCCCGUACCCCAAACCAACACAGGUAGGCAGGUAGAGAAUACCAAGGCGCACGAGAUAACUCUGGUUAAGGAAUUCGGCAAAUUGUCCCCGUAACUUCGGGAGAAGGGGAGCCUCUGCCGGUGAUCGCCCUUGCGGCGUAAGCUGGCGGAGGUCGCAGAGAAUGGGCGCGAGCGACUGUUUACCAAAAACACAGGUCUCUGCUAAGUCGAAAAGACGAUGUAUAGGGGCUGACGCCUGCCCAAUGCCAGAACGUUAAGGAAGCCGGUUAGCCCUGCCCCUUCUGGGGCUUGGCGAAGCUGGCGACCGAAGCGCUGGUCAAUGGCGGCCGUAACUAUAACGGUCCUAAGGUAGCGAAAUUCCUUGUCGGGUAAGUUCCGACCUGCACGAAAGGCGUAACGACUCGCGCACUGUCUCAACCAGAGACUCGGUGAAAUUGUAGUAUCGGUGAAGAUGCCGAUUACCCGCGGAAGGACGGAAAGACCCCGUGAACCUUUACUAUAACUUGGCAUUGGAUGCUGACACGUUUUGUGCAGGAUAGGAGGGAGGCUAUGAAGCCGGGACGCUAGUCUCGGUGGAGCCAUCCUUGAGAUACCUCCCUAAACGUGUUGGUGUUCUAACCCCACACCGUUAUCCGGGUGGGGAACAGUGUCAGGCGGGUAGUUUGACUGGGGCGGUCGCCUCCCAAAAAGUAACGGAGGCGCUCAAAGGUUCCCUCAGCACGGUCGGAAAUCGUGCGUAGAGCGCAAAGGCAAAAGGGAGCUUGACUGCGAGACUGACAAGUCGAGCAGGGACGAAAGUCGGACUUAGUGAUCCGGCGGUAACGCGUGGAAGUGCCGUCGCUCAACGGAUAAAAGGUACUCCGGGGAUAACAGGCUUAUAGCCGCCAAGAGUUCAUAUCGACGCGGCUGUUUGGCACCUCGAUGUCGGCUCGUCGCAUCCUGGGGCUGGAGUAGGUCCCAAGGGUUGGGCUGUUCGCCCAUUAAAGCGGCACGCGAGCUGGGUUCAGAACGUCGUGAGACAGUUCGGUCCCUAUCCUCCGUGGGCGUUGGAGACUUGAGAGGAGCGGCUCCUAGUACGAGAGGACCGGAGUGGACGCACCUCUGGUGCACCGGUUGUCCUGCCAAGGGCAUGGCCGGGUAGCUAUGUGCGGAAGAGAUAACCGCUGAAAGCAUCUAAGCGGGAAGCUCGCCUCAAGAUGAGGUCUCCCAUCCCCUAGAGGGAGUAAGACCCCUGCUAGACGAGCAGGUUGAUAGGCCACAGGUGUAAGCACGGCGACGUGUUCAGCCGAGUGGUACUAAUAAGUCGAGGGCUUAGUGG
rnacentral:rRNA from 1 species